rnacentral:rRNA from 1 species
AGUGAACGCUGGCGGUAAGCCUAACACAUGCAAGUCGAACGGCAGCACAGUAAGAGCUUGCUCUUACGGGUGGCGAGUGGCGGACGGGUGAGGAAUACAUCGGAAUCUACUUUUUCGUGGGGGAUAAUGUAGGGAAACUUACGCUAAUACCGCAUACGACCUACGGGUGAAAGCAGGGGAUCUUCGGACCUUGCGCGAUUGAAUGAGCCGAUGUCGGAUUAGCUAGUUGGCGGGGUAAAGGCCCACCAAGGCGACGAUCCGUAGCUGGUCUGAGAGGAUGAUCAGCCACACUGGAACUGAGACACGGUCCAGACUCCUACGGGAGGCGGCAGUGGGGAAUAUUGGACAAUGGGCGCAAGCCUGAUCCAGCCAUACCGCGUGGGUGAAGAAGGCCUUCGGGUUGUAAAGCCCUUUUGUUGGGAAAGAAAAGCAGCAGGUUAAUACCCCGCUGUUCUGACGGUACCCAAAGAAUAAGCACCGGCUAACUUCGUG